AGCAGCAGCCGCGGUAAUACCGAGGGUGCAAGCGUUAAUCGGAAUUACUGGGCGUAAAGCGCGCGUAGGUGGUUUGUUAAGUUGGAUGUGAAAGCCCCGGGCUCAACCUGGGAACUGCAUCCAAAACUGGCAAGCUAGAGUACGGUAGAGGGUGGUGGAAUUUCCUGUGUAGCGGUGAAAUGCGUAGAUAUAGGAAGGAACACCAGUGGCGAAGGCGACCACCUGGACUGAUACUGACACUGAGGUGCGAAAGCGUGGGGAGCAAACAGGAUUAGAUACCCCAGUAGUCCCUGUCUCUUAUAC
rnacentral:rRNA from 1 species